CCUGCAGUGCAGCCAACAAUGACAGGAGAAAAAAAAAUCCUGCCACCACCAAUGACAACCGUCCACUCAGCACUCAUCCCCCAAAUCGGCAAAAAUCCCAUCAACCCACAAAGCAGUUAGAAGCUCCUUCCCCCUGACCAUCCUAAGUACUGCCAUCUGCAUCCAAAGCUGUGUCCCUCUGUAGCCUGAAGCCCAUUAACCCUCCCCUCCCUCAGUACCUGAUUUCAGUUGGCAGCACCCAUGAGACAGUCUAAAGCCCCGCCUCCUGUGUCCCUUGGUUGCCUGAAGCCCAUUUACCCUCCCACAACUCCCUCAGCAACUGAGUUCAGUAGGCAGCAGGGCACUAAAAUGUGAAAAUCUGCACAAUGUGGGUGGAGGACAGAGGCUGAGCAGAGGAGGAAAAGCUGCUGUCUCCAGCUGCGCAGAGAAACCAACAGGCAUACUUAAAGUACCUUCCUACAGAAAAAAUGUUUUCUGAGUAUAUAGGUCUGGAGACCACAUACUGGUUCCCCACAGGCUCAUACAUUGCUCCCAGUUAUAUAGCAAGCAGUCUGUGACUUAAAUCCAACAAGAAGAUGCAAGAAAAACAGGCUGAACAAGGGAGGAAACAAAAUAAAUAUUACGGCACCGGUAGACUAAAUAACAAGGUGCAUACAGUCCACAGUAGCUUUACAUGGUGGUCCUAUUCCCUGAUACUGUAAGUGAUUUUAUACUGGUGAUUCCAUCUUUCGUAUGUAUAUUUCCAUUAAUUGA